GAGAAAAGGGUAAUCCUGGAUUUCUAGGAUCCAUUGGACCUCCAGGACCAAUUGGGCCAAAAGGACUACCUGGUGUACGUGGAGACCCUGGCACACUUAAGAUUAUCUCCCUUCCAGGAAGCCCAGGGCCACCUGGCACACCUGGAGAGCCAGGGAUGCAGGGAGAACCUGGGCCACCAGGGCCACCUGGAAACCUAGGACCCUGUGGGCCAAGAGGUAAGCCAGGCAAGGAUGGAAAACCAGGAACUCCUGGACCAGCUGGAGAAAAAGGCAACAAAGGUUCUAAAGGAGAGCCAGGACCAGCUGGAUCAGAUGGAUUGCCCGGUUUGAAAGGAAAACGUGGAGACAGUGGAUCACCUGCAACCUGGACAACGAGAGGCUUUGUCUUCACCCGACACAGUCAAACCACAGCAAUUCCUUCAUGUCCAGAGGGGACAGUGCCACUCUACAGUGGGUUUUCUUUUCUUUUUGUACAAGGAAAUCAACAAGCCCACGGACAAGACCUUGG
rnacentral:lncRNA from 1 species